rnacentral:rRNA from 1 species
AACGGCGGGAGCUAGUGUUAUUCUACGUGAAUCGGUGUUAGGAUAUGUAGACGGUAUUUAAGUUAUUUAUGCAAAAGUGUCGUAAAGGGAUUCAGCUGUAUAAAUAAAACUUUCUUACUUGAAUUAAUUAGGUGAAUUUAGAAAAUAUUGAGGAUGGGUGAAAUCACGAUACAGUAUACAGACUAUCAAAAGGGCGAAAGCAAUUUUCAAUAAUUAAUUGACGUUGAGGUAUGUGAGCAUAGGGAGCAAAUCGG